rnacentral:rRNA from 1 species
AACGAACGCUGGCGGCAGGCUUAACACAUGCAAGUCGAACGCAUGCCUUCGGGCAUGAGUGGCAGACGGGUGAGUAACGCGUGGGAACCUACCCCUUGGUACGGGAUAGCUCCGGGAAACUGGAGAUAAUACCGUAUGUGUCCUGAGGGACAAAGAUUCAUCGCCAAGGGAUGGGCCCGCGUCGGAUUAGCUAGUUGGUGGGGUAACGGCCUACCAAGGCGACGAUCCGUAGCUGGUCUAAGAGGAUGAUCAGCCACAUUGGGACUGAGACACGGCCCAAACUCCUACGGGAGGCAGCAGUGGGGAAUAUUGGACAAUGGGCGCAAGCCUGAUACAGCCAUGCCGCGUGAGUGAUGAAGGCCCUAGGGUUGUACAGCUCUUUCACCGGUGACGAUAAUGACGGUAACCGGAGAAGAAGCCCCGGCUAACUUCGUG